rnacentral:rRNA from 1 species
UACAGAGGGCGCAAGCGUUGUUCGGAAUCAUUGGGCGUAAAGGGUUCGUAGGCGGCGUGGCAAGUCGGGUGUGAAAUCUCGGAGCUUAACUCCGAAACUGCAUUCGAUACUGCCGUGCUUGAGUACUGGAGAGGAGACUGGAAUUUACGGUGUAGCGGUGAAAUGCGUAGAUAUCGUAAGGAAGACCAGUGGCGAAGGCGGGUCUCUGGACAGUUCCUGACGCUGAGGCACGAAGGCCAGGGGAGCAAACGGG